ACACAGUCUUUCAGGGGGAGUGCAACCCCAUCUAGAAUGGGUUGACACACCUCUACCCCUAGAUUAGGACCCUUGAUGGCAAGCCCCUCUGAUUUGUCUGGAUUCAGUUUCAAUUUGUUUUUCCUCAUCCAGCCCAUUACCUUCUCCAGGCAUUCAUUCAGAGGAGACAUGAUAUCCUUAGCUGAGGCUGUUUUUGAAGGCAUAGAGAAAUAUAUUUGGGUGGCAUCAGCAUACUGAUAACACCCCACCCAUUUUUUUCGUGUCAGGAGCAACUGGUUGCUUCUGGUGUGAGAGAAUUGGCCGUCUGCAAGGACGUUGCCCAGGGGACGCCCGGAUGUUUUGAUGUUUUUUACCAUCCUUGUGAGAGGCUUCUCUCAUGUCCCCGCAUGGAGCUGGAGCUGAUAGAGGGAGCUCAUCCGCGCUCUCCCCAGGUGGGAUUCGAACCUGGCAGCCUUCAGGUCAGCAACCCAACCUUCAAGUCACGAGGCUUUUAUCUCCUAACCCUAACCCUAACCCAAAGAGCUUGUGAAACUACAAACCUCAAGAUUCCAUAUAUGGCAGUUAAAGUGGGGUCAAACUGCAUUCCUUCUACAGUGUAGAUGUAUCCUACAAAAAGGAAACAUACUUCUUCUUCUUCAUUGCAAAUUACCCUCUCUCCUCACUAUUCUGGCAACUGCAAUUCCCAGGCCUUGUCUAUCUAGUUUGCAUUUAUGGGAGCUCAGUCUGGAUUUAAUAAUUUUUCAGUGACACAGCAGUCUGAAGGAUUAGAUUCCACAUUUUAAUGUCUAAAUAAUCCCCUUUCCCCUGAUAAUUUAACCUGACAUAUUCUAUUUCAGUUUAAAUUCAGGACUAAUUAUACGCUUCAAGUCUGAUUAAAACCACAACUCAUGAUUCCAAGGGAACAGAGGGACAGAAGACCAUGGGGAACUCCUGUAACCCAACCUCGGAUCCUGACCGGUAGACGGACCAGCAGCCAUAACCCUCUCACAAAAGCCAGUUUUUGAUUUUAUAUCUUUCUAUCAAAGGUCUGCAGACAUGCUCUGAUACAUGUCAGUGCACGUGCGGACCAGAUCUGCAACAGCAAAUCUCUCACAGAGAGACUGUCCUUUGUCAACCCUUUAAUAAAAAUGCAUAUUUCCUA